GUUCUACACUAGAUAUUCUCUACUUGCACCUCCGACUAUAGUCUCUGCCCUUGUCCGUGCUGGGCCCUGGAGGGCUGAGCCCUGUGAGCUGUCCCCUUACUCUUUCUUCUGUGCUCUCUGAGUUCUGCCUAAGAGCAGCCACCAGCAGAUCAGGGUGGAGGAGUGAGAGUGGAGAAUGUGCUGAUUCUCCCUGCUCUCUCCCUGUCUGGACACAGCUUAGCAAUGGCUGCAGGGGUCCUCUGCCAGCAGUGCCUGCCAGGCAUCCUUCCCCAAAGUCCCAGUUCCAAUAGUGUGGGUAGCACCUCGCCUCUUCUGAAGGUGCUGACAGCUUCCCACUGUGCAUGCCCCAGGUCUUGGAGGGAAUGGCUGGUAUUCCUGAGAAGGGCACUUUAAAGCUGAAACUUUGGAAUCAGGAAGCUCUGAAUUAAAAUCCUGGUUCCAUCACAUAGCUUUGGUUUAACCUUGAACAGAUGGCUAAGCACCAGUUUCUCCACAUGUAACUUGUAGAAGAAGUUGCCAGUGUUUUGGUAGGUUGCUUAGGCCUACGCUUGGCAUCUGGUAGGGGCUCAGUAGUGCUAACCUUUUCUUCUCCAGUUUGGAAGCUGGGCAGCUCCUUUUGCUCCCAUAACUGCUCUGGGCUGAGCGGGGCUGGGCUGGGCAGUGUUUUAGGGUGAUUUGUGAUAGAGAUUUGACCUCUUAGGUCUUAGCUUUCUCUCUUUACAGCCUGAUGGAAGACUUUGUGUCUUCAAUAGCACAAGAGGGUGGGCCUAGAAGAACUCCAAGACCCAUACGAGACCUGAACGAUCACGAUGCAUGUCUAGACUUGAAACUGGGGUCUCCUGAUGCCAGAUCCAGCUGACCUCUUCUACCGCGUGCCAGAUCCUAGCACACAGGCAGCGCGAGUUCCAGGCGCACAAGCCAGCGAAGAGGCAGCGGCGGCCUCUGAAAGGAACCCCGGCCGGAGGAAAGAGGGUCGUGUUACAGCUCCCAAGAAGGCGCGCGUCGGCCAGCAGCAAAAGCUUAAGAAGAACCUAGAAGUCGGGAUCUGGAAGAAGAUCGAACAUGACGUGGUGAUGAAAGCCAGCAACAGCCUGCCCAAGAAGCUGACACUGCUGAAGGCCCCGACCAAGAAGAAAGGGGAGACUGCUGCCACCUCCUCCAACAACCUUCCUGACAGGACGCUGGCCCCAGCGCAGGCCAGCAUCGCAGCCCCCGCCUCCAUGAUAGGACCUUGCAGGUGAUCCCACAGGCUGCACUGUCAGGAAGAGGACCCUGCUCCCCAGCACUGGGUCUCACCUAGAACUUCACUGGGAGCCUGGCCCUUGGGCAGCAGAUCCUAGGGUGCUGAGAACCCAGCAAUGGCCGGGAAGAUAGAGUCACCAACUUCAUCUGCCCCUGUCCCCCUUCCCAGGUCCUACCUUCACAGGUUCAACCCAGAGCAAUAAACCUGGGUUUAUCAUUUAAAAAAAAAAAAAAAAAUCCAGCUAACAUGUCACUUCCUUCGUGAAGUCCUCUCUGAUCCCUCCAGACAGAUUAGUCUGGUCCUUCCCUCCAUCAUCUGUAUUCCCACAGCAUUCUGUUCAUUUCUCUGUCAUAGCACAGGGACAUAUAGACAGACAGCUAAAGACGCAGCAAGCUGUUUCCCAUUAGACCGGCAGCCUCUGGAGGGCAGAGACGACCAUGGGAUGCCGCGGUGUUAGCACUGCCUCUGGCUCCCAGAAGACGUUUGGUGAGGGGUGACUGAAGCAAUCAACAUGAGGAUGAAUGAACUCCAGGAUGUAUUGUAAAGUGACUUGAAUUUUGAUUCCCAUUUGUUCGAGCCUGCCAAGGCUUAAAUCGCGUUUGUUGGAAUGUGAGAAAAGGAGGAAGAGUGGUAAUUAAAUGUGCUUGAUAAAACUUCUUUAUUUUGUGUUUGGAAUAAAAAUGGGAAGCUUGAGAUAAAACAGUGCUUGUUUCAGUGCUGAACAGGCUUCUCCAAGCAGGGCCUCGUGUCUAAGUGUCUAAUCUUCCCCUCCAAGUGGGGAGGGUGGCACCAGGCUGGGCACUGUCAUGGGGGGCAUUAUAAG
rnacentral:lncRNA from 1 species